rnacentral:rRNA from 1 species
UACGAAGGGGACUAGCGUUGUUCGGAAUUACUGGGCGUAAAGGGCGCGUAGGCGGCGCGGUAAGUCACUUGUGAAAUCUCUGAGCUUAACUCAGAACGGCCAAGUGAUACUGCAGUGCUAGAGUGCAGAAGGGGCAAUCGGAAUUCUUGGUGUAGCGGUGAAAUGCGUAGAUAUCAAGAGGAACACCUGAGGUGAAGACGGGUUGCUGGGCUGACACUGACGCUGAAGCGCGAAAGCCAGGGGAGCAAACGGG